UUUCACAAUACAUAUGCUCUAUCCUUAUUUUAUGAAAAUAUAGAAUAAUUUUUUUCAUGAUAAAAUAGUUAAUAAUUUCAAAAGUAAGAAGUUUCGAGAUUAUUUACCUUUUUCUUUCUAGUCCUUCAAACUUUGAUAGAUGAAUUUAUUAAAUCUAUUUAAUAUAUCAAAAAUAUCAUUAAUUUUUAUUUAUUAAUUCAAUCAUAAAGAAAGAAGAUUG
rnacentral:lncRNA from 1 species